UGGGGAAUUUUGGACAAUGGGCGCAAGCCUGAUCCAGCCAUUCCGCGUGCAGGAUGAAGGCCCUCGGGUUGUAAACUGCUUUUGUACGGAACGAAAAGGCUUUCUCUAAUACAGAGAGCUCAUGACGGUACCGUAAGAAUAAGCACCGGCUAACUACGUGCCAGCAGCCGCGGUAAUACGUAGGGUGCAAGCGUUAAUCGGAAUUACUGGGCGUAAAGCGUGCGCAGGCGGUGAUGUAAGACAGGUGUGAAAUCCCCGGGCUUAACCUGGGAACUGCAUUUGUGACUGCAUCGCUGGAGUGCGGCAGAGGGGGAUGGAAUUCCGCGUGUAGCAGUGAAAUGCGUAGAUAUGCGGAGGAACACCGAUGGCGAAGGCAAUCCCCUGGGCCUGCACUGACGCUCAUGCACGAAAGCGUGGGGAGCAAACAGGAUUAGAUACCCUGGUAGUCCACGCCCUAAACGAUGUCAACUGGUUGUUGGUCCUUCACUGGAUCAGUAACGAAGCUAACGCGUGAAGUUGACCGCCUGGGGAGUACGGCCGCAAGGUUGA
rnacentral:rRNA from 1 species